CCUAAGGUAUAGUCCCAAAAAACCAUUGGUGGACCACUUGUUCACACAUGAGAACCACAUAAUGGCAUUUUAUGAGGGUCACUAAGCAAGGCCCGAGACUUGGGAGAGGUUGAGUGAAGGUUUAGCUAAGGUAGUACCUAGGGUCCCUUAAGGUAGUACCUAAGGUACAGUCCCAAAAAAUCAUUGGUGGACCACUUGUUCACACAUGAGAACCACAUAAUGGCAUGGUAUGAGGGUCACUAAGCAAGGCUCGAGGCUUGGGAGAGGUUGAGUGAAGGUUUAGCUAAGGUAGUACCUAGGGUCCCUUAAGGUAGUACCUAAGGGCUCUUAAGGUAGUACCUAAGGUACAGUCCCAAAAAACCAUAGGUGGACCACUUGUUCACACAUGAGAACCACAUAAUGACGUGGUAUGAGGGUCACUAAGCAAGGCCCGGGGCUUGGGAGAGGUUGAGUUAAGGUUUAGCUAAGGUAGUACCUAAGGUACAGUCCCAAAAAACCAUAGGUGGACCACUUGUUCACACAUGAGAACCACAUAAUGACGUGGUAUGAGGGUCACUAAGCAAGGCCCGGGGCUUGGGAGAGGUUGAGUUAAGGUUUAGCUAAGGUAGUACCUAGGGUCCCUUAAGGUAGUACCU